CACGUAGGGUGCGAGCGUUGUCCGGAAUUAUUGGGCGUAAAGAGCUCGUAGGCGGUGUGUCGCGUCGGCCGUGAAAACCUGCAGCUUAACUGUGGGCUUGCGGUCGAUACGGGCAUCACUGGAGUUCGGCAGGGGAGACUGGAAUUCCUGGUGUAGCGGUGAAAUGCGCAGAUAUCAGGAGGAACACCGGUGGCGAAGGCGGCUCUCUGGGACGGUACUGACGCUGAGACGCGAAAGCGUGGGGAGCGAACAGG
rnacentral:rRNA from 1 species